CGAUGGGCCGACGUCGCAUGCUCCGGCCGCCAUGGUAGAGUUUGAUCAUGGCUCAGAUUGAACGCUGGCGGCAGGCCUAACACAUGCAAGUCGAGCGGAUGACAGGAGCUUGCUCCUGAAUUCAGCGGCGGACGGGUGAGUAAUGCCUAGGAAUCUGCCUGGUAGUGGGGGACAACGUUUCGAAAGGAACGCUAAUACCGCAUACGUCCUACGGGAGAAAGCAGGGGACCUUCGGGCCUUGCGCUAUCAGAUGAGCCUAGGUCGGAUUAGCUAGUUGGUGAGGUAAUGGCUCACCAAGGCGACGAUCCGUAACUGGUCUGAGAGGAUGAUCAGUCACACUGAAACUGAGACACGGUCCAGACUCCUACGGGAGGCAGCAGUGGGGAAUAUUGGACAAUGGGCGAAAGCCUGAUCCAGCCAUGCCGCGUGUGUGAAGAAGGUCUUCGGAUUGUAAAGCACUUUAAGUUGGGAGGAAGGGCAUUAACCUAAUACGUUAGUGUUUUGACGUUACCGACAGAAUAAGCACCGGCUAACUCUGUGCCAGCAGCCGCGGUAAUACAGAGGGUGCAAGCGUUAAUCGGAAUUACUGGGCGUAAAGCGCGCGUAGGUGGUUUGUUAAGUUGGAUGUGAAAUCCCCGGGCUCAACCUGGGAACUGCAUUCAAAACUGACAAGCUAGAGUAUGGUAGAGGGGGGUGGAAUUCCUGUGGUACGGGGGAAAUGCGUAGAUAUAGGAAGGAACACCGGUGGCGAAGGCACCCACCUGGACUGAUACUGACCUGGGGUGC
rnacentral:rRNA from 1 species